rnacentral:RNase_P_RNA from 2 species
CGAGUCGACCGGGCGGCCGCGUCGGUGUUCCCAGGAACACCGCCGAGGAACGUCCGGACUCCACAGAGCAGGGUGGUUGCUAACAGCAACCCGGGGUGACCCGCGGGAAAGUGCCACAGAGAAAAGACCGCCGGCCACGGCCGGUAAGGGUGAAACGGUGGAGUAAGAGCCCACCAGCACCCCGGGCGACCGGGGUGGCUCGGUAAACCCCACCCGGAGCAAGGCCAAGCAAGGCUGACGUCGCAAGACCGAAGCCGGCGCAGGCACUCGAGGGCUGCUCGCCCGAGUCUGCGGGUAGGCCGCACGAGCUUGCCGGCAACGGCAAGCCUAGAUGGAUGGCCGCCACCGGCGACCGCAAGGCCGCCGCACACAGAAUCCGGCGUACAGGUCGACUCGUCCG